UAUUGGCCACUUAAAACUUUCUUAGUUUGUUGUUAAUUAAGCAAAAGAAAAACUAAUCUCGUCAUACUAUAUGCAUAUCAAAAAUAUAAAUUCUAGUUGAUGUGGUAGGAUAAAUGAGCAAUCUAAGAUUGGAAAAUGGGGAUUAUAGUUAAUAAUUUUUUAGUUUUUACUUUUUUAAAAUAUUUCAAUUUGAAUUUAAUUAAUUUUAGGCCCACGGACCGGCCUAGACCUAGCCUCGAUCAAGCCUCAAAGGGCCAGCAGACUGACUUGGGUCGGACUUAUAAGCCUCAAUUUUAAACGGGCUAAAAAAAUUACAACCUAGCCCUACCCAAAUAGCGGGCUGGGUAGGGCCAUUUUGACGAUUGUGUAUUUGGAAAAUUCUAAAAUGGGGCCAAGAACCUCUUCGUUUAAGGAGAGAAGAUGAAUUUGAUUGUAUCAAUAAGACAUCCUUUUGGGUAUCAUCGACAAAGUUGAUUCUCAAAGUUGUAGUGUGGGUGAUCUUCAUUGCAUAGGCUACUUUUAUUUUCUUAUUGCCUUCUAAAUUGAUGAAUGAUCUGCAAGGGAAAUUUAUUCGAGCCACCCGAGGAACUAUUUUUGGACAACAGGAAGCACAUUCUUGAUAUUCAGUUUCCCAAUUUUCAUGAUUGCAUUUCUUGCAAUUAUUCGCCUCGUUCUCUCUGGUGAAGAUGAACCCCAAGUGUAUGUGUAUCUGGUAGCUUGAUUUCUUAUUUGUUAGACCUUAGAAGUUAGUGGAAAGGAAGUGCUCAUUAAAAGCAUUUUAUCGAGUAUGCCCACCUAUUACUUGUCUCUGUUGCAAGCUCCUGGGAGCAUCACAGAAAAACUGGAGCGGCUUUAAAGGAACUUUCUAUGGAAUGCAGCGGAUGGAACUAGAAAGUAUCAUAUAGUGAAUUGGCAGACAGUCAUUUCCCCAAAGAAGUGGAGUGGACUUGGAGUAAAAGAUCUUAGGGUAUUCAACAGAGCUUUGUUGGGGAUAUGACUAUGGAGAUUCGGGGUAGAAGAGCAUGCUCUAUGGAGGGAGGUCAUAGUAGAGAAGUACGAUUCCACGGGAGGGGGUUGGAGGACUAAGGCGAUCACAACACCUUUCGGGUGUGGCAUAUGGAGGAGCAUCAUGAAGAAUUGGGAAUCCUUCGGUGGCAACAUCUCUUACAGGGUGGGAGAUGGAAGAAGAAUCAGCUUUUGGAAUCAUAGGUGGUGUGAAAAUGAUACUCUAAGGGUCUCCUUCCCCCACGUCUUCAGAGUUUCAAACCAAAAGGAAUUGAUGGUCCAACAAAUUCGUAAGGAACAUGCAGGGGGUAGUAUGGGACCUCUCAUCUAGAAGGAACAUGCAAGAUUGGGAGAUUGCGGAGCUCUAAGAUUUAUUGACACUGCUAUAUGGGCAAGACUUGCCUCGGCCAUCUUGUGAUUCUUGGAGAUGGGGUUUGCGUGGCGAUGAUCCGUUCACCGUAAAGUCCUUUUACCAGAGUAUGUUGGUGAAAGAGGAGGCCUCUUUUCCAUACUCCUCCAUCUGGAUUCCUAAGGCGCCUACGGAGGUGUGCUUUUUUGCAUGGCUAGCGGCGAGGGGAGUGAUUUUGACUGCCGAGAAUCUGCGAAUGAGGGGAAUUACACUUGUUAGUUGGUGUUAUAUGUGUAAAAGCUCAGGGGAAGAAGUUGAUCAUCUUUUGUUGCAUUGCACUGUGUCCUCGGCUUUGUGGAGGGCGAUCCUGAACCUUUUUGGUGUUCAAUGGGUGAUGCCAAGCACUGUAAAGGAAAUGCUAUAUAGCUGGGCCGGUUUCCGUAGAAGGAGAAAGCAAAAGCGUGGAAGUUCGCCCCGUUAGCUCUCAUGUGGAUAGUUUGGGGGGAGAGAAAUAGGAGAGCUUUUGAGGGGAUUGAGUCUCCUUUUUCACAUCUUAAGAAUAGUCUUUUAUCUUUGAUCGUUUUUUGGUGCAUUCAUAUAGCCCCAAUUUGUAUAGAAGAUUGAGCGUCUUUUGUAGAGAAUCAUGUUCUGAUGUAAAUUCUCAACUUUUUGGUAUACUUCUUGUAUACGGGAGUUCUCUCCCUUUUGAUUAAUACAAUUUACCUUAUAAGUGGAUGUUCUGAACUUGUGUAGUUACUUGAAUUUUAAGCUGUUGCAGCCUGUAGGAAGAAGACUGCGAAAGGUCCAAGUUUUCGCUUGUGGACAUUCCCAGUGCUGGUGGAUGGACCAUUUGGGGUUGUUACAGCUGCAGAAAUGAUUGGUGUUAUACUCUUCUCAGCGUACAUCAUCUGGGCUGUAGUUAUGUACAGUAUACGGAAUGUUGACCUCUUAUCAUUAUUUCAUGUACAAGAUAAGAGAAAGUAGUUGCUAAUGACGUUCACCAUGUUCAAGAGCUUGGGUUUGUUAACCUGCUCAUUUAGACCUCUUGUUGUUCUUUAAUUUGCACCAUUUUGUUCCGGCUUGACAAAAUAGUCAUCCUUUCAGAGAACUAAGUUACCUUAAUCCUUUUAUCUAUACAUGUAUGGCUGGGAUAUAAAGAUCAUUAUCCAUUUUCCAAUAGAAGUACAUGAUAUGAUUCUUUAAAGCUAUUUAUUUUGCAUCCUUCUGGCCUUCAUUUGCUCUAUAUUCAGGAAUUUUUCAAUCCAAUAUGCCCUUAAUUCAAAUUUUGGUUCAACUUUGUUCGUAUAUUGUCUUAUAUAGUAGCUCUUUUCUCUCCAAAAAUAUGCAUGGUAGUAGAGUUCUGAAAGUACUGAAACACUCUUCUCGAGUAGUUGAUGAUUCCAAUUUACUGAAGCUUGAGCUAAACAUGACUUUAGAGCCUGUUUAAAGAUAUGCGACCUAUUGAAAUAAUAAAUAUAUCCUAGUUUCUUAUGUUUAUUCCUGCCCCUCUCUAAUGAAAACAAACUGAUUGAGAUCAGUUGAGUACUGUGCACUUUCUGCAUCACACGAUAAUUCCAGGCUAUUCUAACUAUGUGUUUGAUUUUACUAACUUCACUUAUAUAAAACAGGGAUCUUUUAAGUUCAUCUACUGCACAUUAUCUAGUCCACCUGUGAUUUUAAAUUGGAAAAGAUGAUUGAUUUUCUUUUCUUUUGAUCUGUCCUCUCUUCUUUGUCACCUCAAUUUAUAAUUGCGCAUCUUGAUAAAUAUAAAAGAGAAUUCCAUGUCAAAAGGUUUCGAAGUAUUGGGAUAUAAACAUAGUUCUUACAUCAGACUUUAGAACCAGUACAUAGUUUGUUGACUUGAAGGCUCCUUUAAUAGCAGGAUCGACUAAUAUCUGCUGUUGUAAUUUUCCAGUGUUCUGUUGCUGGAGCUAACAGGCCUUCGUUUUGGAUUCAUUGGAUUAAUCUGCUUAGCAUUUCUGUUUCUGCCUGUUGCACGGGGUUCAGUUCUUCUUCGAGCUAUAGAUAUUCCUUUUCAACAUGCCACUCGAUAUCAUGUUUGGCUGGGACAUCUUACUAUGGCUCUUUUUAGCCUUCAUGGCCUGUUCUAUGUGAUUGGCUGGGCGCCGCCUUUUGGAGGAACUCAUUCAGUGGAGAACAUAGGAGCAGCAAUUUUCCAGGAGUUAUCAGCCUAGCAGCUGGGUGGGUGACUUCACUUCCUGGAGUAAGGAGACAAAACUUUGAACUGUUCUUCUAUACACACCAAUUAUAUGUGGUGUUCUUGAAUGGUCCAAUUGUUUGUGGCUUCAUUUCAGCCAAAUUUCUGCUUACAUAGCCUGAUUGAAUGUUGGGUAUUAGUCUAGCAAAUAACGAACAUAUGAUUAAGUUUUUAGAUACGGAAAAAGAACAAAGCGAAAUUGCAUUCAUUCUUUCACAGGCACCUAAAAUGGCAAGAUCAUAUUCACUAAUGACUUAGAGCGCACAAGAUGUUGAUCAAAAGGGAUUAGUUUUUUUUUUUUUUUUUUUUUUUUACCAUAAUUCAACUUGUAUUUAGGCCUGGAUUUGAGUUGUAGUUAGGCUUGAAUUAAUUUUAAUUUUUGUACCAAAUUGAUAUUUUUAAAGUAAUGGUGACUUAUGUAUGUAUGCAUUUUUUGUAAAAUAAAUGUGACCACUCAUAUAUAUUUAA